GUACGGGGGGGGUAAGCGUUGUUCGGAAGUUACUGGGCGUAAAGGGCUCGUAGGCGGCCAACUAAGUCAGACGUGAAAUCCCUCAGCUUAACUGGGGAACUGCGUCUGAUACUGGAUGGCUUGGAUUUGGGAGAGGGAUGCGGAAUUCCAGGUGUAGCGGUGAAAUGCGUAGAUAGUCUGGAGGAACACCGGUGGCGAAGGCGGCAUCCUGGACCAACACUGACGGCUGAGUGAGCGAAAGCCAGGGGAGCAAACGGG
rnacentral:rRNA from 1 species